AUUGAACGCUGGCGGCAGGCCUAACACAUGCAAGUCGAACGGUAGCACAGAGAGCUUGCUCUCGGGUGACGAGUGGCGGACGGGUGAGUAACGUCUGGGAAACUGCCCGAUGGAGGGGGAUAACUACUGGAAACGGUAGCUAAUACCGCAUAACGUCGCAAGACCAAAGUUGGGGACCUUCGGGCCUCACACCAUGCGAUGUGCCCAGAUGGGAUUAGCUAGUAGGUGGGGUAAUGGCUCACCUAGGCGACGAUCCCUAGCUGGUCUGAGAGGAUGACCAGCCACACGGGAACUGAGACACGGUCCAGACUCCUACGGGAGGCAGCAGUGGGGAAUAUUGCACAAUGGGCGCAAGCCUGAUGCAGCCAUGCCGCGUGUAUGAAGAAGGCCUUCGGGUUGUAAAGUACUUUCAGCGGGGAGGAAGGCAGUGGAGUUAAUAACUUCACCGAUUGACGUUACCCGCAGAAGAAGCACCGGCUAACUCCGUGCCAGCCGCCGCAGUAA
rnacentral:rRNA from 1 species